rnacentral:lncRNA from 1 species
UCGAGAGAUCAACACAUUAAGCCAAUAAAAGCUUUCCCACCAGCUUCAUAUCUUAUCAAGCUUUUCCGCCUUGACAACAGGAUUAGCCUUGGCUAUUGCAUCACGUCCAGCAGUGCGGUAAUCAAAUGGGCACUCAUGUUUGUCUGAGUAGCGAUGUGAUCCGCAGAAGAGGUUACCGCAGCGACAUUUAAAGCCAGUUAAUCCAACCCGUUUCUUGCAAGUGCUGCAUCGACUAGGACCUUCUUUGGCCUUUGUUUCAUCAGUUUCACCAGAGCCUGAAACAAUAGGUGAAGGCAGAGAUAUGAUCUUUGGCUCUGGAAGAUCAACUUGCAUACUCACAGUUCCUGCAGCAACAGGUUCUUUCUCACAGCCACUCGAUGACCCAUUUAUAAUAUUUUCAAUGGAUGUUGCUGCAAGUGUAGCCUGCUCUCGUUUCAUAAC